UAGUGAAUCAUUAUUCAUUAAGUUGUCAUACAACUUAAGUCAAUGGGCUUGACGUUCGAAGCCCAUUGGGCCUAAACGUCCAAAACUAUCCCGAGGUCUUUUAACGAACUUAUUCGUUUGAUUAAUUAACAUAUUAAUUAAUCCUUACCAUAAAUAAAUGAUUAAACCAUUUAAUCAUUCUUACUCAUCUCCGUUUAAUCUCCAAUCUCAACCUCUUAUGGUGUGCGAUCCAUUAGGUUCCUUUUAGCGAGGCAGUGGGCGAUUAAAACCAUUUUAUAUCGAUUGUGAAUUGAAACUUACUUUCAAUUCUCCCUUUAGCGAUUACACACGUUUAGGGCUUCCACAAACCAUGAGUGACACCUUGCAGCAUAUCAUGGUUACCCAAGCUAAUCAGAAGAGGUAGAGAAAACCUAUUCAGUUUGGGAUUACAAAUGCAAUACGGUCUUUCUCUAAUACAAUACUCUUGACCACAUUGUUUGGUUUGAUAGUUUAUUUAUUCAUGUCUACUAUCCAAUGUGAUUCGUGUGCUUAUAUGAUUUCCUUGAAUGUGAUUCGGAACGCAUUCCCAAAUCCCAUUCAUACUCUGGCCAGAGAUUCUAAAUCAUAUCAUAGAGUAUUCUCCCUCAAACAGUUUGAAGGUUAGAGAUCCCUUGUUGCGCAUUCACUUGCCUCCAUGGCUAAGUGGCUUAACCCCAACGAUGCCGUGGACACCCUCCUGAUGGAGUGACUUUGACAUAAUCAAAGAUCAAGGACUUAACCACAAGACAACUAUGAUGGCUCAAGUCAAAGGACUACUUUGCAUUAUCCCAACCAUGAGUUCUCAUGUGACAUGAGUAUGAGAACUCUUCGUUGAUCGCGUUCAGUGAACUCAUUCUCUAUUGAGCACCUACGUACUUGUCUUGAUGUCACACACACCAAUGACUCGAGACUAGUCACUCUCCCUGAGAGAAGACAUAGCACGUACCGAUCUUGACGGACUGUCAAUGCCCAAUUGGCAAUCCUAUGAUCAGGAACAUUUAGGAUGUGUCUACGAAAGAAUGGUCUCAUGAAUCUAACUUCAUUAGAUCGCAUUCUCCCAAUCACAUAUUCCUUGGACUUUAUCGUUUAAGCAUAUAACAUUUAUAUGAGACGGCUCAAACAAUAAUCUUUGCCCUUUAUAUUAAACUAGAUUAGUUUAACAUGUGAAAUGUCCGUAAAGUAUCAUCAUAUGAUUGGUUUUAGGGCACAUUUCCAACAAUCUCCCACUUGCACUAGAGCCAAUCAGCUUGGUCAUCAGUGAUGAUACCUCUUCUGUAGUCAUUUCAUAAAUGGCUGAGUAGUAGGCCUAGACAAUGGAUAUCUAUAUGUUAUCCAUAGAAGCAACCUUGAGAAUAACGACGUCACCAUUAUACAUGAUUCUCAAUCAUGUGGUUCAGUCUCUCAUAUGAGUUCGGACCUUGAUGAGACCUUGAUUCCCUGGCUUGAGCUAUCGCCCCAUUAGUGUCAUAGUGUCGAUACACUAGAUACACUUUCUGGUUGGAACCGAAUAGAGAGUUCAUAAAUGAACUUUCCCAUCCAAACAACAUUGUUGCAAACUUCUAUAUGGCAAUAUAUCUUGCAUUCAUAAUGGAACACACUAAAGUCAUUACUUUAAUGUUUCCAUCCAAAUAUCUCUUUAGUCAUAAUAAAGAGAUAUAUGUUUAUCUCUUCAUUCAUAAUGAAGAAACAUCCAAUGAUGGAUUAGAUUCAUAAUCUAAUACAUUUACGCUUCCUUUACGUUACUCUAAUUCUUCCUCGAUCUUUGAGGAAUUUAUCCCUUAGUAUUUCUUAAAUACUUAAGGACUCACUUGACAGUUGCCAUGGUUCUGAUCCUGGGCUUGCACUGAUAUCAUCUUGUACCUGUUCUAGGUACAACUCAUAUCAAUGUUUUUCAUACAAUAUGAAAUACAUAAAUCACCUUUAUGCGUAUGCAUAAAGGAUUCUAUUUACGCAUUAUUUCUUUGGGAGUCAAAGACUACGUUCCCUUUGAGAAGGGCAACUUGCUAGUCACACUAGAGUCAUCCUUCUAAUUGAAGUUUAUCAUCAUAUGAGAAACUUCCUAGCAUCUUUUGUCUAUUAUUAGGGAUUGAUAUAAUCCAAUUAUAUCCUAAAAUAUAUCAUUAUAGAUUUCCAUCCCAUGUAUAUAGACCAUGUCUCCCAUAUACAUUCUAUUGUUAUAGAAUGCUUAAAGUCAUAACUUUAACGAAGAAAUAUUCUUUUCAUUUCCAAAAUUAAUAUAUCAUACAUAUAUUCAUAUAUAUCACAUAUACAUUUAUAUAUAUAUAUAUAUAUAUAUAUAUAUACAAAUUUAGGAAUAUGAUUAACUCCCACUAAUCUUUUGUAAAACUAGUAAACAAAAGAUUCAUUUACAUCUUUAUGAGAAAUCAAACGAUUUGACCUUUCUCUCAUAAGACGCUUAUAGCUCCCACUAGCUUGCUAAAAUCCAUGAUGGAUGGAUCUCUACAACUUAUAUGUCUUGUGAUUCAUAGUUUUAGACAUAUAUUAUCAAGACUAUCUUAAUAAUGGUUUCGGAAACCCAUAUUAUGUCCAAACAUUGAAUCACCAUUUAGUUGUAGCUAGCAAUCUUCGAAUUAAUUGAAACUAAGACUACGUCAAAAAUGGUUUCCUUCAAAGUCAACCAUUCUCUUUGAUUGUAGUCACCUUAAGCUACCAAUUAGCUUAUGAAGGUUUCAUUAUUUCGGGUCAAAUGGUACUUUACCAUUUCCCUUGAGUAUAUAUCGUAUAUGCACUCAAUGUAGUCAUAAGGAUUUUCAUUCUUAUUUCUUUCGAAUUAAGAGGUGCAACUCUAUGACAUAGUCAUAAAGUUCAAACCAUUCAACUGAGACGGUUUAUAAAUCCUUCUCGACUACCUUGGAGCUUAUGGUAUAGGAACUAGGUUGUUAUAUUUGUUGAUUACUUUCUUGUCUCUCAAAGAACCAUUCUUUGAGUUCUAUCCUUCGUUCAUUUGCUCUUAGGCAAAUCACAUUGUAGGAUUACAAUGAACUAUCCAACAAAACAACAUUUGUUAGUUGGUUUAUAGAAGCGAUAUCCAAAAGUUAAUUUAAGGAUAUCCCUCAAGAUUGUUAUCAAACAAAUAUAGUUUAUUAGCACACAACCCCAAAUCUUAACAUGUUUUAAGAUUUGUCUUUCUUUCCAACUACAUCUUAUGGAGUCAUGAAAAUAUUGGAAGAUCUUCUAAUUUACAAUCAUAUUGUUUUUAGAAGUAUAUAUCCUAUAUAUGGGUAAUAGAUAACAUCUAACGAACUAAAUCUUAUUCUAGUUCGUUCUUCUCCUAAUGGAGAAAUCUAUUAUCUUAUGAUGCUUCUUUCCUUGAUAUCUUUCAAGAAAACUAUUCUAAAGUGUUACCAUUCCUUGGAUCAAAUCUAAGGAUGUAAAUACUUUAGACGUCUUGCUCAUCAACUUACAUUUCUUGAAUUCUUUGAAACCUUUUGCAAAGUAUUCGGACUUGUGUUUAUUUAAAAUAAACUAUAGUCCAACCGAGGGUGAUCUUCGGUGAAUGUCAUACAACAUGAGUAGUAUUAUGUUGUGGACAAGUGCCACUAACAUCUAAGUGAAUUAACCUCAACAACUUUGUGAUUCUUUAUUCUUUCCAAAAGAAUGAAGAUUCAAACAUUUUGCCUCUACACAAUUUUAACAAGAAGGUAUUGGAUCCAGAUCUAACGAUCCAAAGCGUCCAUCUAUGACCAACUCGUAAUUUAUGUUUUAGAGGUAUCACAACUUUAGUUGGGAUUAGUCACUACCUUGCAACCUUUUGGGUUUUAAGCAUCGUUGUAUUCUAAACAGUUAACACUACCAUAUCAUCUCUACUAUAGAGACAAUCAAUUAGAUUACUAUAAUCCAAUCAUUGAUUAAUAAAGAACAAUGUUUUGUCAAACAAAACAUUUAUCCAUUUCACAUAGUGACGGAAUUUAGUUCCUUAAAAUUGGAAUAUAAAGACAAUCUAUGUUUUUCCAAUUUCUUUGGUAGUUCAUAUGAGGAAGUAAGUACCAUCUGCUUUCGCAGAGAUCUAUAUUUUAUUCACUUUCCGAAUGUGAAGUACUUUCUCUUCUCUCAUUAAUCUUCUACUUCUUAUUAGCCACACUUUUACAACGAUUGUAAAACAUAGUUACUAAUACGGAAUCAAACAUUCAAGUAGAAGAACCAACUGUUUUGAACUAUUCAAGAACAAUUUACAACACCUUCGAAAGGUGUGUUCUUGACACUUGCAAGACAUUUCUUGCAAAUACCCCUUCCAAUGUCCAUCCUUUCAUAAAGAAAGUUUGUUCCCUUGGAGUUAAUUUUAUCUUCUUCAUUUGACUUCUCCUUUGACUACAAUAGUCAUGGUCCCUAAACUCCCACUAUCUCUCUUGAAACUUAUUUCAAUUGUGUUAUACACAUCAAACACAUUUUUGGAGAGCAUGUGGUUAUUGUUCACUACAUAGUUUACAAUAAACUUAGUGAACCAUUAGGAUAGGGACACAAAGGUGAAGUCCUUGCCUAGUUUCCGUCUCAUUAAGUGGUUUAUCACUUCAACACUUAAUGAUUCAAAAUCAUUAUAAGUCCAUGUUAAUGGACUAUUUUUGUCAACCAACCAUUAUGUUCUAAACAUAAUUACAAACCUUCAAGAGUUGUUCAAGGCAACUCUCAUUUCUUCAUACAACAAUUUGUAAGUGAAGAAACAUGGCACAUAAAGUGUCCAUGCCUUUGUGCUUUCUUCUCAAGUUCUUUGUUCAUUUAACAAAGAAACAAGCACUAAGUGUUUGCAUUGACUAAGGGUUGUUCAAAGCAACUAUUAUUUCUUCAUACAACGAUUUGUAAGUGAAGAACUAAUAACACUAAAAGUGUCCUUGUCAUUAUGCUAAUCUUCUUAAGUUCCUUUGUUCAUAUAACGAAGGAAUAAGCAUUGGUUGUUUGUGUUGUCCUCUUCAUGAUAGACUUUUCUAACAUGUUCUUACAAUGAUACAUUAUCAUUAGGAAGAUUGUGAGGAUGAGACUACUUAGAUAUAUAUGCAAUCCUUUUAAGACAAUUCUUUGGGAUUGUGGUACCAAGUCCGGAAACUAAACAUUCGGUUUUAUUUGUCAAGUGUUGGAUAGCGUUUGCAAAUAUAUUGGUAAACAAAUACAUAACGAAUAUAAAUUGAUUGAUUUUAAGCUAUUUGAUUCGGGUCUUUAAAUCAAAUAGCACCACCCACUAUUUUUGGCAAAUUCCAUAUCCCUCAUUGGAAUUCGAGAGUUUUGGAUGAAACUCUUAGUAGGUUAUGGGAGGCUCACUAUUACCAAGCCCACCUCACAAUGAUAUGAUAUUGGCUAGCAUUAAUAAUAAUGAGAGAGUACGCUUACUCAUUUGCAACUAAUGCAAGUACCCAUCUUAUUUGGCCUCUAGAGAAUGUCACCUCACAAUGAUAUGAUAUUGGCUCCAUUGCACUUAGUUAAGUCAUUCCCACCAUGCUUAGUUCGUGAAGGGGUUCAAGAAUAGCCUCACAAUGAUAUGAUAUUGACUAUCCUCGUUGCCUACACUAACCUCAUCAUAUGUUUAUGGAUUCCUCCUGAGUAUAAGCAUGCACUUUGUACUCCCCCAUGAUAGGGUGAAGCCGGUGUACAAGUCAUAAACGAUUGGAGCCCACCACGGUGGAAGGCCUACGAAAGAGUGUUCUAAGCACUCUCACGCUUAUCAACUUAAUAAUUGUUUGGUUGAGGGUUUUAGGUCUCAUCACAUAUAAACAUACAUUUUAAUCUCUAUUAAAACAAUUUUGGUCCUAUUACAACUAUUGGUCCAUAUGAUUGUUUUUAGUUGUAUAUAAUACUCCCACUAUGCUUAUAAAACGGUUUUUUAAAGCAAGAGUAUAUGAUACUACUAACAUAACCUUUGCAUUCAUUUGAUGGACUAUAUAGUUGCCUUAGGGCCUUAGGAUGACUAUGAACCUUUGUUUAGAUUCAACACGAGCCUUGUGUUGAAUCUCGGUCUAGGAAUGGUGAUUGAUUUUAGUUACGCGUUUAAUCACAUUAAGGCGUGUUGUCUUAGGGGCGUUGGACCCAACUACUUCAUUUUCAUGCAUAUCAUAUAAAGCAAGAAAGAAGUACUUCAAAGUAAAGGUGAGCUUAUGCUCAUUACAACAUUUGCAUAAAACAAAUUACUUUAAAGUAAAGAAGAGCUUAAGCCCUUUUACAACAUUUGAUCAAAUCAAAUUACAACCAAAAUCUAAUCUACACAUUCCCAUGGUUCAAACAAAUUUGAAACGGCCUAUCACAUAGCUCAAUUAUAUUAGGCUUAGGUUCAUAAUCACCCUUUAAUUAAUUAACACUUUAACUAAUUAAAUUGAAUGCAACAUUUUCAUUUGGUUUUUGUAUCCAUAAAAUUGAUUUAAAUGGAGCUAAACAAAAUGAAAAUCCAAUUCUCAUUUAAAGAGACAAAACAAUUUUUGUUCUCUACCUAAUUUGGGCCAAUAUGCAAUAACCACAACUUUUGGGCUAUAAAGUAAUUAACCUCAACUUUUGGGCUAUAUUGCAAAACUUUUGGGGUCACUUUGUAAAGACACAAAAGUCCACUACUUCAUGUAAUUACAUUAGAACCCAAAAUUUAAUCAAUGCAAAAACUUCUUUAAAGGAGCAAAACAAUUUGUCCUUUAGCGUUUUUGGACCUAAACGUAAAAACGUAAACUUUUGGGCCAAAGUGCAAAUACACAAAAGUAUCAAAACUUUAUGUAAUUGCAUAAAAGGCCCCAAAAAGUACCCCACUAGGGGGUGGCCGGUUUUUGGAAGAGGAUAUGAGUGAUGUGGUGUGUUGAUUUGUGAGUUUUAGACAUAAAGCAACAAGUGGUGCAAGUGGUGUGUGUGUGAAAGGGAAUUAAUCCUUACACACCCAUCACCAUUUCCAUCACCAUUCAAAAUAAAUAUCUUAUGCAAUAAAUCAUUUGAAAAACAUAAAACACAAACUUUAUGAAAUAAAUCAAAACUUUGAAUCAAAAACACAAACCUUUUUGUUCUUGGCAAAAAUGUCAAGAACAAUGAAGAAACACUCAUGAAAAAACUCAAAAAUUUUCCAUGAACAUUUUUCACCCAAAAAACAUUCCAAAACCAUUCAAACUUUAGGGAAAUAACAUCUAACCAAACUAGGGUACAUAGGGGUUCCAAAAGUCACCUUAAAACACUUUUUAACAAGUCAAACAAGAACCCAAAAAUCCACCCUUUGGAUUUGGCCGAAAAUCCCCAAAGUCAUGGCACCAAAAAUUUUAGCUCCAAUAUUCAUGCUCAUAUGAACUACAUCUACAACAUUUGAGAUGGCAAAUUUUCUAACAAAAUUUACAUUCAAAGAAGCAAGAAUAAAGCUUGUAACAAUUACAACUUUUAAAUCACAAACUAUGAACUACAAAACCCAAAAGGAUUCACCAACUACUAGACCUAGGCUCUGAUACCACUUGAAGGAAUGAUUUUUGUGAAAACAUGUUCAUUUAAGCAACAUCAUAUAGCAUGCAAUUAACAAUUAAAGGCGGAAUCAUGCUAGCAUGCACUUAAAAACAAAACAUUAACCAAGAAAUUCAAAGCCUAGUAGAUUGGUGAACCAUUAAUCAACUCAAAACAAAGUGAGUUGAGAUUUAUACCUUUGUAGAUUCCUCUUUGCAUAAGCAAAGGCUAAUCACCCAAAGAGAGGGCCUUCAUUCCUUGCAUCUUAAAUCUAUAUUUUUUUGAUGGAAGAAUAGGUUUCUCCAAGUUCCCAAAGUAGGGAACCUCUAAGUCUCUUCACCAAGGAGAGAUUGGAGAAGAAAUGAGUGACCUUGGAGUAGUGGGAUUGCAAGAUGCACCCCCCAAGGGGCCGGCCUCCUAGAGAGAAAAUGGAGAGACAAGUUCUCACCAAUUUUCUCUAAAAAAGAAACCCUAAUGAAUAAAAGGCUAUAAAGUCAUAUUUAUACCUUUAUUCAUUUGAGUGGCAAACUUGUAAUUAAAGCAAGUUCACUACCCUUCCUCUAAAUGGCCGGCCAUGGGGUGUUUUGUUUGGGCUUUUGGGUCUUAGUGAAUCAUUAUUCAUUAAGUUGUCAUACAACUUAAGUCAAUGGGCUUGACGUUCGAAGCCCAUUGGGCCUUAAACGUCCAAAAACUAUCCCGAGGUCUUUUAACGAACUUAUUCGUUUGAUUAAUUAACAUAUUAAUUAAUCCUUACCAUAAAUAAAUGAUUAAACCAUUUAAUCAUUCUUACUCAUCUCCGUUUAAUCUCCAAUCUCAACCUCUUAUGGUGUGCGAUCCAUUAGGUUCCUUUUAGCGAGGCAGUGGGCGAUUGAUUAAAACCAUUUUAUAUCGAUUGUGAAUUGAAACUUACUUUCAAUUCUCCCUUUAGCGAUUACACACGUUUAGGGCUUCCACAAACCAUGAGUGACACCUUGCAGCAUAUCAUGGUUACCCAAGCU
rnacentral:lncRNA from 1 species